UGUGCACAGAACAAGAGGGAAAGAGCUAGGGAAGAAGGAGAACAUAAGAGGGCAGCAGAGAGCAACUAAAGAGAAGCUGGAAGACUGGAAAUACCACAAUGUUAAAUUACUGGGACUAUAAAACAAGGAGAAAAGCAAGACUGAAUACUGAAAAGAAAAACAUAACAGAAACCUGACAACCUGCCUGCAAAACCUCCUCCUCAGUCUCCAUCUGCAGUGGAUAAACCUGCGUAAAGCAAGGCCAACAGUCUCCUGCAUUCCUUCCGUCCUGCUCUGCUCUGUUAUGAGCUUCGUAGAGCUCGAGGAGAGUAUCUGCGAGAGGAUUGAGAUCAAGUGUUAUUAAAAAGGGACGUAAAGGACCUGCAAACCAAACUAAAAGUCAUUCAUCCUUUGAAUGGUGUUUGGAAAGUGCCCUGUUGCUCAUCAAUCAACUAGCUGUUUCCACCAUCAAAAAGGGUUGGGGAACGAGCGGCUGAGAUCUCAGGAGAGCUGUGCGUAAGUAAAAUGGCGGCAUACACGUAGUUCAUAUCAAAUCCACUGAGGUAAGUACAAGCCAAUAAUUGAAAAUUAAACAAAGUAAGGUUUAAACAUUAACAAUUGUCUCGUAUUUUACGAGGAAACAAACUGGACAAGGAGACCUUGACGAACCUGUAGAGCUAGCUGGACAGGAGCUACAGCGACGUCCAGAAAUCCAUCAACCAAAAGGUAACCAGCCUGGAUGCCUGUCUCGCCUUGUUAGAAGUCCUACAUAAAGAGGUUCAAGCCCUGAGAGAGUCGGAGGAAUACAGCCAAGGGCAUCUAGUCUCUAUUACCGCCACGAACAAAGCGCUGAGGGGGGAAGUCAUGAAGCUCACCGAGGGGAUGAUCCAACUGCAUUCCGGAGCAGCAGGAGGAGGAUCCCGAGGUGACAAUCCCAGAGUUCCUCCAGAAGAAGCUGGAAAUCCUGGCGGAUCAGCUGCUAAUAUCAGAGAAGACUUAUUAUCUUCACUUUCCCGUGAAGACAUCAAAGAUUUGUUUCCUGGUCCUGAAAAUGUCUUGAGGCGCCAGGCUAUUUGGCUUAUUGUGAAUAAAGACCAAAAGGUAGAUAACGCUCCAGAAAUUCAGCAGUCAUCCCCGACUGGAGGCAGCGACCUAUCAAAAGAGGAGGCCACUCCUUCUAAAUUUGUGACUAUGUCCAACCCAGAAUACAGUCUUCACAGAUAGUGAGCUUGAACAUGUGCGAUGCUCCUACUUCGAGCAGAAACGGCUAGUAACCGAGCACAGCGUGGCCUUAUCCAAGGAGCUCUUCUGCCGACUCAUAAGAAACACUAUGACUAAUAUGAUUUCUAUUGCGAGAGCCACAGAGGACUGCAGAUACCCCGCCAAACAUGAGGUGGAUGCCAUGGCAAAACGAUUGGUGGAUUACUAUCCAAUGAUCAAAGAUAGGUCUACAAAGAGUGAGUGGGAGCAUGUUGCUAAAAAGCUCAUGAAGAGACUCUCAAAUGUCAGAAGUCCAAGGAAGGACAAAGUUCCUCCUUCGAAGAAACAUCGAAAAGAUGUGGAACUGGUUCACUUGACUUCAUGGACAGCCUAAAAACCCAAGCAAGACACUACAAGACCCUCCAAGAAAUGUUCAAGUCCAAAAAAUACAAACAAAGCUGCAAUAACUCAUUUGCUGACCAAGGAAUUUGAGUCUCGAAGACGCUUCAUCACUUCUGAGGUCUUAAAGAAGCAAGACCUCUUAAAGGGGCAAGAAAGACCAACAAAGAUUCUAGAGGCGUUCCCCUGUUUCCAAGAACUGGAUCACGUGCUGGAUGAGCUACAGCGAAUCAUCCAACCAAACAACUCCAAGUACAUCUCUGAGAUGAAGAGCAGAUGGAAAACCUUCUAUUCAAAGGUCCAGUUUUAUGGGGUGAUGAAAAAAGAAAUGAAGCCUCCUAAAACUUUGAAUGGAGUGGAUCAUGUCACAGCUGUGUUCCAAGCCCUGCCAAUCCUCUUCCCGUCCAGCAUCCCGCCACCUAAG